GACGAACGCUGGCGGCGUGCUUAACACAUGCAAGUCGAACGGAAAGGCCCUGCUUUUGUGGGGUGCUCGAGUGGCGAACGGGUGAGUAACACGUGAGUAACCUGCCCUUGACUUUGGGAUAACUUCAGGAAACUGGGGCUAAUACCGGAUAGGAGCUCCUGCUGCAUGGUGGGGGUUGGAAAGUUUCGGCGGUUGGGGAUGGACUCGCGGCUUAUCAGCUUGUUGGUGGGGUAGUGGCUUACCAAGGCUUCGAUGGGUAGCCGGCCUGAGAGGGUGACCGGAGACACUGGGACUGAGGCACGGCCCAGAGUGCUACGGGAGGGAGGAGGGGGGAAUAGUAGACAGUGGGCGAAAGGCUGAUCCAGCAAUGCCGCGUGAGUGAUGAAGGGGUUGGGGAGGUAAAGCUGUUUUACCCGGGGGGAUAAUGACGGUACCGGGAGAAUAAGCCCCGGCUAACUCCGUG
rnacentral:rRNA from 1 species